rnacentral:rRNA from 1 species
UACUCGAGCGGCGAACGGGUGAGUAACACGUGAGUAAUCUGCCUCUGGCUUCGGGAUAGCCACCGGAAACGGUGAUUAAUACCGGAUAUGACGCAUCACCGCAUGGUGUGUGUGUGGAAAGUUUUUUCGGCCAGGGAUGUGCUCGCGGCCUAUCAGCUUGUUGGUGGGGUAAUGGCCUACCAAGGCUUCGACGGGUAGCCGGCCUGAGAGGGUGACCGGCCACACUGGGACUGAGACACGGCCCAGACUCCUACGGGAGGCAGCAGUGGGGAAUAUUGGACAAUGGGCGGAAGCCUGAUCCAGCAACGCCGCGUGAGGGAUGACGGCCUUCGGGUUGUAAACCUCUUUCAGCACAGACGAAGCGCAAGUGACGGUAUGUGCAGAAGAAGGACCGGCCAACUACGUGCCAGCAGCCGCGGUAAUACGUAGGGUCCGAGCGUUGUCCGGAAUUAUUGGGCGUAAAGGGCUCGUAGGCGGUUUGUCGCGUCGGGAGUGAAAACACCGGGCUUAACUCGGUGCUUGCUUUCGAUACGGGCAGACUAGAGGCAUUCAGGGGAGAACGGAAUUCCUGGUGUAGCGGUGAAAUGCGCAGAUAUCAGGAGGAACACCGGUGGCGAAGGCGGUUCUCUGGGAAUGUCCUGACGCUGAGGAGCGAAAGUGUGGGGAGCGA